GACGAACGCUGGCGGCGUGCUUAACACAUGCAAGUCGAGCGGUAAGGCCCUUUCGGGGGUACACGAGCGGCGAACGGGUGAGUAACACGUGGGUGACCUGCCUCUAGCUCUGGGGAUAAGCCCGGGAAACUGGGUCUAAUACUGGAUAUGACUCCAUGACGCAUGUUGUGGGGUGGAAAGCCUUGUGCGGCUAGAGAUGGGCCCGCGGCCUAUCAGCUUGUUGGUGGGNGAUGGCCUACCAAGGCGACGACGGGUAGCCGGCCUGAGAGGGCGACCGGCCACACUGGGACUGAGACACGGCCCAGGACUCCUACGGGAGGCAGCAGUGGGGAAUCUUGCGCAAUGGGCGAAAGCCUGACGCAGCGACGCCGCGUGAGGGAUGACGGCCUGGU
rnacentral:rRNA from 1 species